rnacentral:rRNA from 1 species
UGGGGGAAUAUUGGGCAAUGGGCGAAAGCCUGACCCAGCAACGCCGCGUGAGGGAAGAAGGGUUUCGGCUCGUAAACCUCUGUCCUAUGGGACGAAGGAAGUGACGGUACCAUAGGAGGAAGCCCCGGCUAACUACGUGCCAGCAGCCGCGGUAAUACGUAGGGGGCGAGCGUUGUCCGGAAUGAUUGGGCGUAAAGGGCGCGUAGGCGGCCUGCUAAGUCUGGAGUGAAAGUCCUGCUUUCAAGGUGGGAAUUGCUUUGGAGACUGGAAGGCUUGAGUGCGGAAGAGGUAAGUGGAAUUCCCAGUGUAGCGGUGAAAUGCGUAGAGAUUGGGAGGAACACCAGUGGCGAAGGCGACUUACUGGGCCGUAACUGACGCUGAGGCGCGAAAGCGUGGGGAGCGAACAGGAUUAGAUACCCUGGUAGU